UCCAAAAGUUGUACUUCAGAAAUUUAUAUUUAUUAAAUCAAAGUUGAAAAAAAAUACAGUCAUUAAAAAAAAGGAAUGGGAUCCUGUAAUUUGGGUUGGGGAUGUUAGGAAUGCAGCACUGAAGCUGGUGAUACUGAAUCUAAAUCCUGAUGAGUCCUUUUAACAAGUGGAAGAGAUCUCUGCACCCCCAUCAAAGCAUCCUCUUCACCCCUCACCCUCAGCAGAAGAAACCUCCACAUCCAGGGACAAAAGGCAUCUAGAGAUAUUGGCCUCUCCCACCCCUGUGUCCUUUAAAAUUCCAUUUGAAGGGAUCAACCCUGCUAAUCUGAGGAAAUUACUGGCCCCCCAUGAUACAGUUGCUACGUAAGAUGGUGUGCAUAUCCUCAAGACUUACCCUUGCCACCCCAUUUUGAAUCUAGGUCUAUAAUCAGCCUCAAGUCCUUCAUGACCCUAAACAUAUAGUACAGCAUGACCCAGCAGGAGAUGUGCUAUACUCAUAAGGAACUACUUGGGUUUUCUAAUUUAUUAUGGCAGAUAUUUAGAGAACAUGGGUGGGAAUGGUUACUAAAGGGCUGGAAUAAUGGAGAAGGAGCAUAAGGUUGGAUCAGGCUAAGUUUAUUGAUAUGAGUGCUAUAGAAGAACACUUAAUGUUGCAGACUUAGGCGUCUGUAUGGGCUUUAACAGUUUAUCCUUUUUGUUGUUGUUGUUGGUUGACUGAGGCAGUUCAAAUGGUGGCUCACAGAGAGUGAUUGGUACUAGGAAUGUAUUGAUUUUAAUGUAAAUGCUUAAGGAUAUUUGAAUAUUCAAGUCAAUUUUUCAUUUAAGACCUGCUCAGCCUUGCUGGGAGGGUCCAGAAGACAUAUUUUUCAUCUGUACUAUGUGAGGGGAACCCCGGCAUCCUUAAAAGUUCUGUGAUGUAGGCUGAACCUGAUGAUGGGAACUACUUCCAAUGAACUGAGAAACACAGAUUAAAUGUGAGUUAUUUGAUCCUUGGAAAAAAGGGGCCAAGUGACGACAUUCAUUAUCAAAGGCAAGGUGACUGUGAUUAUCGUAAUGGGCAGCAAAAUAAAACAGCAAUCAAAAUACUAUGACUUGCACAGUCCUAUAGGCUGGCUAAUUGAAAAUGCGUUCCCAGGCCAGCGCCGCUGCUCAAUAGGCUAAUCCUCCACCUGCGGCACUGGAACACCAGGUUCUAGUCCCGGUAGGGGCGCCGGAUUCUGUCCCGGUUGCCCUUCUUCCAGUCCAGCCCUCUGCUGUGGCCCGGGAGUACAGUGGAGGAUGGCCCAGGUCCUUGGGCCCUGCAGCCGCAUGGAGACCAGGAGAAGGCGCCUGGCUCCUGGCUUUGGAUCAGCACAGUGCACUGGUCGCAGCAGCCAUUGAGGGGGGAACCAAUGGAAAAGGAAGACCUUUCUCUCUGUCUCCCUCUCUCACUGUCCACUCUGCCUGUCAAAAAAAAAAAAAAAAAAAAAGGAAAGGAAACGUGUUCCCAGAAGUGAAGUAGAUAGAUAGCCUACUAAAGUUUUACUUGAUCUCUAUAAGCAGAAUAUUUCAAUGUCAAGUGAAAAAGAAGUCUAAUUUGGAUUAUAAAAUCAUAGUCAUGGCCUGUCAAUCAAUUCCCUGACUGAUAACCCAAUAAUGAAGGGAGGCCAUAUGACCUUGAUAAAGGAUCCCAGUAUACUACCAAAAAUUUGUACUGUUAACUUUUCUCUAUGUCUUCACCACAAGGCUCUAUGACCUCUACCACAAUAGCUACACAUUAGGGAAAAAUAAAUAACUGGACCUCUCAGCAUCUACUGAACACUGGGCCUGACCUGAUACUAGCUGCAAGAGACUGAAAACAUCUUACAGAGUUUUGGUUUAAGUCCAUUUCAUGGUUGCCCCAGUGAGUCUUGAACCCAUUCUGUGUGAUUUUCCAAGGUCCAGAAUGCACAAUUGGAAUAGAAAUACUCAGAAGCUGAUAAGAUACCCAACUGGUUCCCAGAUCUAUGGAGUGAGGGCUAUUAUGGUAGGAAAGGCCCUGUGAAGACCAUUACUACUGCCUGCGUCUAGAAAUAGAGUAAACCUAAAGCAAUACUGCGUUACUGGAGGAAUUGCCAAGAUACGUGCAGCUACUAAGGGACUAAAGGAUGCCUGUGCAGUGAUUCCCAUCGCCACUCAAUUCACCCAUUUGGCAUGUGAUGAAGGCAAGUGCAUACUGCAGAAUGAAAGUGGGUUAUCAUAGGCUAAACCAGAUGGUGACUCCAGUGGUAGAUGCUGUCCCGGAUGAGGUUUUGUUUUUGAACUAAUUAACAUGUUCCCUGGUACCUACUAUGCAAUGAUUGAUAUAACAAAUGCCUUAUUGCCUAGCUGUCAAUAAGAACCAUAAGAAACUAUUUGCUUUCAGGACAAGGCCUGCAGUACGCCUUUACUGCCCUACCUCAGGAAUAUAUCAACUCUCCAGCCGUAAGUCAUAAUAUGGUUUGCAGGAAUAUUGAUUGCCUUCCCAUUCCAUAAGAUAUCACUGGCCCACUGAAUUGAUGACAUCACAUUGUUUAGAAAUCAUGAGCAAGAAGUUGCAACAACUCUAGAUUUAUUGGUCAAACACUUGGGUGUCAGAGGAUGGGAAAUAAAUCUGAUAGAUUAUAGAUUUCAGGGCCUUCUCUCUUAAUAAAAUAAAGAUUCAGUCGUGUAGAGUAUGUUGAAAUAUCCUUGUAAGGUGAAGGGUAAGUUUUUUCAUCUUGACAUCUCCUACAAUCAAAAAAUAGGCACAACACCUAGUGAGUUUCUUCAAAUUUUGGAGGCAUGCAUUCCUCAACUGCAUGUGUUAUUUCAGUCCACUUAUGAAAUUAUCUUAAAACUACUAGUUUUAAGGGGGGCCCAGAAUUCACUGGGUCUGAAAUAGACCCAGUAUGUUGUACAAGUUGCUCUGCCACUUGGACCAGAUGCUCCAGCAUAUCCAGGGGUAUCUGGAGUAUCAGUGGUAAAUGAGGAUGCUGUCUGGAGUCUUUGGAAGUCUCAUAUAUUGCUGUACAGGCCUUUAGCAUUUUGAAUAACUACUUUCCUUUUGAAAAAUAUCAUUUGGACUGCUAUGAGUGCUAGUGGAGACCAAACAAUUAACCAUGAGCCACCAACAUGUAAACAUGAACUGGAUGUUAUCUGACUCACCAGGCCAUAAAUUUAAGAAUGCACAACAAAAACACCCAAUUACCAAAAGAUUAGCCAACUCUACAAGUACAAGUUACAUGAAGAACUGGUCAAAAUACCAAUGAUCCCUACUCCACAAUACUGCCUUCUCUUCCCUAGUCUGCACCUAUGACCUUAUGGGGAGUUCUCUAUGAUCAAUUUAUAGAAACAGGAUUUGGAGGUGAUUUAUAGAUGGUUCCGCCUGAUAUAUAGGCACCACCGAAAAAAUAACUGCUAUAGCAUUGAAGAUCUUUUCUGGGACAUUUCUGGGGGACAGUUGUGACAGGAAAUUCUUUUAAUUGGACAAAGUUUCAAACAGUGCAUUUGAUUGUUCAUUUUGUUUAGAAGAAGAAAGCUGUGAAAUUAUAUAGUAAUUAAUGGAAUGUAACAAAUUGAUUGGCUGCAUGAUCAGAGAGUUAGAAGGACUAUGAUUGGAAAAUUGGUGACAAGAAAACUUGGAGAAGAGAUAUGUGGAUUUGCCACUUGACAUUAGCAAGAAAUGUGAAACUAUUUAGCUUCCGUAGUAACGCUCAGCAAAUGAUGUAGAUAGGAUGAUCCAUUCUGGGGAUAUUAGCAAGUCUCUUUCCUCAGCCACCUUUGCCAUUGCCCAAUUGACUCAAGAAUAAAAUGGUCAUUGUAGCAAGGUUGGAGGUUAUGCAUAGACUCAUCAAGGUCAACCUAGCUCUGGCUAUCACUGAGUACCUAGUCUUUCAACAAAAAAAGACCAAAACUGAGUGCAAAGGUGUAAUGUGGAAAUAUUCUCUAGAGUAAUCAGUUAGCUACUCAGUGACAGAUAGAUUAUAUUGGCUGAUUCCCAUCAUGGAAAGAGCAUUUUCUUGUCAUCACUAAAACACACUUAUUUUGAAUAUGGAUUUGUUUUAUCUGCACACAGUAAUUCUGAUGAAAUUGCCAUCCAUGGGCUUACAGAUGCCUUCUCCACCUUAAGAGUAUUCAAUACAGCAUUGCUUCCAAUCAAGGAACUCACUUGACAAAAAAGUGUGACAAUUGACCCAUGCACAUAGAAUUCACUAGUCUUACCAUGUUCACCAUCAUGAAGGAGCUGUCUUGAUGUCACAGUAGAGUGGCCUUUUGAAGAUUCAGUUAUAGUACCAGCUACAUGAAAAUACUUUGAAACAAGUUUCUUUAGAUGAUUACAUUCAUAUAUGCUUUGAAUCCUAGUUCAGUGCUAUUUCUCCAAUAGCCAAGAUCACAGGUAUAGGGAUGAAUGAGUGGAAGUGGGAGUGGUACCAGUCAUUGUUAUCCCUACUGACUCCCUAACAAUAUUUUUGCUUUCUGUUCCCAUGACUUUAUACUCUUCUAACCUAGAAUCCUUGGUCCCAAAAGGGAGAAAUUCUUACACCAAGAGAUGCAACAAUAAUUUCCAUUGAACUAAGAAAUUAAAACUGCCCCUUGGAGAAUUUAACUCCUUGUUCCUCUGAAUCAACAAAGAAGGGAGUUGUGGUUAUGGCUUGGAGACUGACCUAGUACAUAUUUCACUACUCCACAACGAAGAAGAAUAUGGAAUGUUCUUCUGUCCCUUUAACCAUGUAAGGACAAAAGGGGAAGAUGGCCAUCAUGAGCCAGGAAGUGGGCCUUCUGCUAGCACCUUGAUCUCCAACUCCUCAGCUUCCUCACCUCUGAGACGCGUCUUGUUCAGAAGCUAUUAAGUCCGUGUUGUUCUAGUAUUUCAGAUACAGAUAACAAUGACUCAGAAAUGUUAGUUCAAAUAGUGAGAAUGUUUUCAAACUCUUCUUUUGAAGUAGCCUGAUUUGAAAAUAACUCAUAUUAAAUUUUCUCUUAAAUGA